GCACUGGAUGACUGACAGCUGUCCUUCAUGACAACAGAAGACACAGAAAUCCUCCUCAUCAAGAACAUGACUCUGAUCUGCGUCCUCAUCUGGACUCUCCUCUGCUGCUGCUUCACAGAGUCCAGAGGCCAGUACACAGUGACUCAGUCUGGAGCAGUGAGCUCUGCUCCGGGACGCUCCGUCUCCAUCACAUGUACGACCAGUCAGAAGGUUUAUAAUGGGAACUAUUUAGCCUGGUACCAACAGAGAGAUGGAGGAACUCCUAAACUGCUCAUUCACACUACUAGCACUCGAGUAUCAGGGAUUUCAGACCGUUUUACAGGCAGUGGAUCAAACUCUGACUUCACUCUGACCAUCAGUGGAGUCCAGACUGAUGAUGCAGCAGUUUACUACUGUCAGAGUUGGCAUUACCCCAACAGUCAGUAUGUGUUCACACAGUGA